rnacentral:rRNA from 1 species
CCUACGGGCGGCUGCAGUGGGGAAUAUUGCACAAUGGGCGCAAGCCUGAUGCAGCCAUGCCGCGUGUGUGAAGAAGGCCUUCGGGUUGUAAAGCACUUUCGGCGGGGAGGAAGGCGUUAAGGUUAAUAACCUUGGCGAUUGACGUUACCCGCAGAAGAAGCACCGGCUAACUCCGUGCCAGCAGCCGCGGUAAUACGGAGGGUGCAAGCGUUAAUCGGAAUUACUGGGCGUAAAGCGCACGCAGGCGGUCUGUCAAGUCGGAUGUGAAAUCCCCGGGCUCAACCUGGGAACUGCAUUCGAAACUGGCAGGCUAGAGGCUUGUAGAGGGGGGUAGAAUUCCAGGUGUAGCGGUGAAAUGCGUAGAGAUCUGGAGGAAUACCAGUGGCGAAGGCGGCCCCCUGACAAAGACUGACGCUCAGGUGCGAAAGCGUGGGGAGCAAACAGGAUUAGAUACCCCGGUAGUC